AUUUCACCGACUACAGCGCUUACGUUCGUACUUCAUUUAAUCAAUGGAGAACAAAAUGGACGGAUGGACGGAUGGACGGAUGGAUGGGACAGCGCCAGCGCGACCUCAGAAUCUUUUGACCGUAUUAAAUAUAUAGCUCGUUCUGUGCAACAGGACUGCUGAAUCCUUUGAUUUAUUACUUUUGUUGUUGAAAGUUGACAAUUAUAGUUCGAAUGAAA
rnacentral:misc_RNA from 1 species